AUGGCAGGGCUGCCUGGGCCAAUGGGACCUCAGGGACCUCCAGGACCCCCUGGACCCCCUGGACCAGCCUUCCAAAUUACUACUGAUGGAAAAGAAAAAGAAGUUGAUCUUCAAUACAUUCCAGGAGUCAUGGGGCCACCAGGUCCACAGGGACCUCAGGGGAUACCCGGACUACCAGGAAAAUCUGGUUUACCAGGUAUUUCAGGUCAGAAAGGUGAAGAAGGUCAAAAAGGACAAGAAGGAAUGCCAGGGUUAGAUGGCUUUCCAGGAAAAAUAGGGCUAAAGGGGGAAAGAGGAUGGAAAGGUGAAAAAGGCGAUCCUGGUCAUGCAGUAGGGCCUGCAGGACCACCAGGGCCACCAGGUCCUCCAGGACAAGUUAUCUAUAUUAAUGGCAGUGUAAGUGUUAUCAUACAGUUAUCCCUCAAAGGACAUUGUAUAACUCUGUAACAUUUUACUGAUCCUUUACAACAAACAAUAACUUAAAUUGAAUUUAAUUUCAGACAAUUGGAGAAUAUGGAAUCCCUGGACCACAGGUGAAAGGAAAUGAUAAAUACUAGUCGUUAUAGCUUUUUAUUAAUUUGAGUAUGUAAAAAUCAUGCAGUUCAAUACAGAAUAUCCUGUGUAAUUUUGAUUUACUAUUUGCAUAAUAUAACGCAUAUCGUGUUUUGUUCUUGUUUUAUUAGGGUACACCUGGUAUAGCUGGUCAGGCAGGAUUCCCUGUAAGUUUUUAAUCUCUGGUAAUUUUGUUGUGAGUCCAGUAUUGUACAUUUUGGAUAACAUCAGAUUCUACCACAUCUGCACCUUUUUAUUUAAAUGUUCAUUUUAAACUUUAAAGAUCAAUCAAUGCAUUCAUCGUGCUCUCCCAGCUAUUUAGGUGCCAAGACCUAUAUACAGUAUGUUACAAAAUUACAAAGAUUGGUCUACACUCUACAAAUUGGUUUAUUUAAGUUAAAGCAGGAGCUUUAAACUUUAAAAGACUGUGAGAAGUAAAAACUGUUUUACAGUGCAUUUUUUUCAUAUCUUUAAAGGGACCAGUGGGUCCAAAAGGUGAUCAGGGGGAACCUGGACUACCAGGAGACUCUGUCAAGGUAAUACAUGUAUGUUUUGGUAAAACUUUAUUACAAAAAUACACUUUAGAAAAUCAAUUAAAAAUCAGGGGUAUUUCACCAAAUAUUCUAAAGUUAGUAUUGUGUUGUUUAAAAAUGAAUAUGAACUUGUUUUCUUUGGAUUAUUUGAGGUCUGAAAAUACUUUUUUAUUUUGACCAGUUGUCAUUUUCUGCAAAUUAAUGCUCUAAAUAACAUGUUUGAAAUUUGGGAAAAAUGUUGUCAGUAGAAUAAAAUAAAAAUGUUAAAUUUACUCA
ensembl:lncRNA